AGGUGCGAUCAUACCAACUUUAAUACACCAGAUCUCAUCAGAACUCUACAGUUAAGCGUGCUUGGGCUAGAGUAAUACUGGGAUGGGUGACCUCCCGGGAAGUCCUAGUGUUGCACCCU
rnacentral:rRNA from 1 species